rnacentral:rRNA from 1 species
UAAUAACUUUACGGAUCACAUUAAAUGUGACAUAUCAUUCAAGUUUCUGACCUAUCAGCUUUAGACGGUAGGGUAUUGGCCUACCGUGGCGAUGACGGANAACGGGGAAUUAGGGUUCGAUUCCGGAGAGGGAGCCUGAGAAACGGCUACCACAUCUAAGGAAGGCAGCAGGCGCGCAAAUUACCCAAUCCUAAUACAGGGAGGUAGUGACAAGAAAUAACAAUACAGGACUUUUUGGUUUUGUAAUUGGAAUGAGUUAAGUAUAAACCCCUUUACAAGUAUCAAUUGGAGGGCAAGUCUGGUGCCAGCAGCCGCGGUAAUUCCAGCUCCAAUAGCGUAUAUUAAAGUUGUUGCAGUUAAAAAGCUCGUAGUUGGAUUUCUGUUAAUAAUUUAUAUAAAAUAUUUUGAAUAUUUAUAUAACAUUAACAUAAUUCUUAUUACUAUAUUUUUUAUUAUAUGAAAUUUUACUUUGAUAAAAUUA